rnacentral:rRNA from 1 species
UACGUAGGGGGCAAGCGUUGUCCGGAAUCAUUGGGCGUAAAGAGCGUGUAGGCGGCCCGGUCAGUCCGCCGUGAAAGUCCAGGGCUCAACCCUGGAAAGCCGGUGGAUACUGUCGGGCUAGAGUCCGGAAGAGGCGAGUGGAAUUCCUGGUGUAGCGGUGGAAUGCGCAGAUAUCAGGAGGAACACCAAUAGCGAAGGCAGCUCGCUGGGACGGUACUGACGCUAAGGCGCGAAAGCGUGGGGAGCGAACAGG